rnacentral:rRNA from 1 species
AUACGUAGGGUGCGAGCGUUGUCCGGAAUUACUGGGCGUAAAGAGCUCGUAGGUGGUUUGUCGCGUCGUCUGUGAAAUUCCGGGGCUUAACUCCGGGCGUGCAGGCGAUACGGGCAUAACUUGAGUACUGUAGGGGAGACUGGAAUUCCUGGUGUAGCGGUGAAAUGCGCAGAUAUCAGGAGGAACACCGGUGGCGAAGGCGGCUCUCUGGGAAGUAACUGACGCUGAGGAGCGAAAGCAUGGGUAGCGAACAGGAUUAGAUACCCUGGUAGUCCAUGCCGUAAACGGUGGGCGCUAGGUGUAGGGGUCUUCCACGACUUCUGUGCCGUAGCUAACGCAUUAAGCGCCCCGCCUGGGGAGUACGGCCGCAAGGCUAAAACUCAAAGGAAUUGACGGGG